rnacentral:rRNA from 1 species
CUGGCGGCGUGGAUAAGGCAUGCAAGUCGUGCGAUCCCUUCGGGGAUAGCGGCAAACGGGUGAGUAACGCGUAAGUAAUUUACCCCUGCGUAUGGGAUAGCUUGUCGAAAGACAGGGUAAUACCGUAUAUGCUCAUGAGAUCGCAUGAUCUCAUGAGGAAAGAUGGCCUAGACCUUCGGGUUGCUAUCGUGCAGGGAGGAGCUUGCGUCCCAUCAGCUAGUUGGUGAGGUAACGGCUCACCAAGGCGUAUGACGGGUAGCUGGUUUGAGAGGAUGAUCAGCCACACUGGCACUGAGACACUGGCCAGACUCCUACGGGAGGCUGCAGUCGAGAAUAUUUGGCAAUGGACGAAAGUCUGACCAUGCGACGCCGCGUGCAGGACGACGGCCUUCGGGUUAGUAAACUGCUGUUACAGGGGAAGAAGGUUGUUAGCGAAAAUAUCGCUAGUGAUUUGACGGUACCCUGAGAGAAAGCCACGGCUAACUACGUGCCAGCAGCCGCGGUAAUACGUAGGUGGCAAGCGUUGCUCGGAUUUACUGGGUGUAAAGAGUUCGUAGGCUGUUUUGCAAGCCUGACUUGAAAUGCUAUGGCUCAACCAUAGCACGUGGUUGGGAACUGCAGGACUUGAGGAUGACAGAGGCAAGCGGAAUUCCCGGUGUAAGGGUGAAAUCUGUAGAUAUCGGGAGGAACACCAGUGGCGUA